rnacentral:rRNA from 1 species
AGACGAGGAGCUUGCUCCUCUGACGUUAGCGGCGGACGGGUGAGUAACACGUGGAUAACCUACCUAUAAGACUGGGAUAACUUCGGGAAACCGGAGCUAAUACCGGAUAAUAUAUUGAACCGCAUGGUUCAAUAGUGAAAGACGGUUUUGCUGUCACUUAUAGAUGGAUCCGCGCCGCAUUAGCUAGUUGGUAAGGUAACGGCUUACCAAGGCAACGAUGCGUAGCCGACCUGAGAGGGUGAUCGGCCACACUGGAACUGAGACACGGUCCAGACUCCUACGGGAGGCAGCAGUAGGGAAUCUUCCGCAAUGGGCGAAAGCCUGACGGAGCAACGCCGCGUGAGUGAUGAAGGUCUUCGGAUCGUAAAACUCUGUUAUUAGGGAAGAACAAAUGUGUAAGUAACUAUGCACGUCUUGACGGUACCUAAUCAGAAAGCCACGGCUAACUACGUGCCAGCAGCCGCGGUAAUACGUAGGUGGCAAGCGUUAUCCGGAAUUAUUGGGCGUAAAGCGCGCGUAGGCGGUUUUUUAAGUCUGAUGUGAAGGCCCACGGCUCAACCGUGGAGGGUCAUUGGAAACUGGAAAACUUGAGUGCAGAAGAGGAAAGUGGAAUUCCAUGUGUAGCGGUGAAAUGCGCAGAGAUAUGGAGGAACACCAGUGGCGAAGGCGACUUUCUGGUCUGUAACUGACGCUGAUGUGCGAAAGCGUGGGGAU